rnacentral:piRNA from 1 species
UUAAUCUGUGUAUACUCUACUGGA